GAACGAACGAGGUGACCCACGCAUGCUGCUCGCUUGGGUGUCUGUGUUGUUGUUGAUGUUGUCGUCGUCGUUGCAGCAGCCAUCCACUCCAUCUUCGUGGCCUCCAAGUCUCUUUUCUGUUCUCCACUCGGCCUCCACUCUAUUUGGUGGAGAGUGUUCCACCUUCAAUCAGGGAUCCCAACCAUGCAAUAUCCGGCAUUGAAUACUACUCUUCGGAAUGGGUUCAAGCUGGUUGAACUUGUGUCGAUUGUAUUGAGUCAACGAUUGGUAACUUUGAACUGUGACAACAUCGGAAAGAACGUAGAGAGGCGUGCUCAAAUCCAGAUCUCCAUUCAUCUCUGAAAGGAAUCCUUGGGGUUUGGGUGGCUCCAAUUGAAGCAUGAGAAAUGGCCACCAGCUCAUUUGAAAUUCGUUCAAAUCGGAGCAAAGAUUGGGGAUCAUCGUUCAUCUGGGCGCACCCGUGUUCCCAUUUGGAUUGGAUGUAUGGUGAUUAUGAUUAUGGUGAUGGUGAGAGUGCCCAUGAUGAGUGUGGUGAGAGUGCCCAUGAUGGUUGGUGAGUCGAGUGCGUUGCUCGGGAUCCUCAAAGAAGUCCUCAUCUCUGAAUCGCGACUGGGAAUACGAACAGCUGCUUCGAGGAUGGAUGUGGUGACUCCCACUACUCCCCACACUCCCAUCGAUGCUUCGUCUGAAAUACACAGAGAACAGAAAAGAACCAACGAAGGCUUAGUCACGCUUCAGUACGGGGGAAACGGAGAAGGCCGGAGAAUGUUUGGAUUCAUUUCAAAUUCAGAUCAUAUUUCUCCGACCUGAAGGAACCUUCUUGAGCGUAUCACCACUCGUCACCCGUCUUCUAUUGAAUGAAAUCCUGCUUUGAAAAUGAAAGGUUAAAGCGAAUGGGGGGUGUCUUUCCCGCGAUUCUGCAUACAAAGGGUGCCAUUGGAAAAAAAGAAAAUCAAGGAUAGAGGCGACUGUCUAGGUUUGAAUUUUUUGAAGUGACCCGUUUUAAGAGGAUCAGUUGAGGUUGAUUGCGAGAAUGGAUUAAAAGAACGACAGUUGGAAAAUCAAAAUUCCAUCUGAAAGUGAGUCCGGGGGGGAUGGCGACUUGCAACAAUGACAUUGUUCCGUACUUACUUGACCUUUACUGCAUAUCCAUCCAAGCCACGAUCCAAAUUUUGAUGCUCGAGCAUUAAACAUUAAACACGCCUUGAAGUGUCUCAGUAACUCGUAAUCAAGUUACUAAAUGUCUCUUCAGGCUAAAAUAAAGAAGCCAACAUCUCCUAACCCCACCCCGCCGGUCUUCAUCAUUCUCGUUUUAGUUUUCUCAUCUCACAGAAAUCCUCUCUCACGCCUCAAAGUUUGGGAAUCUCCUCCAAAAACAUCAUCUCCCAAGUAAUGAAGAUAAAAACCGAGUACCCUCCUUUAGUAUGUAUUUACUUAUGUACUUUAUUAUGGCUAUGUGUACUAGGAUUCCAUUACUAGGUCUUACCCUCUUCGCGAUGAAUUGAGAACAUUUUCGUCCCCUUUCUGGACUCCAAACACGAGGAAACAGCAAACCAUCACGGUCAGCAUCACAACGCCUAUAAUUCACACGGAUAAGAGCGUAAUAAAAAGCGAUUUGCCUUCGUAAUCCCUUCGCCAGAUGAGCAUUGAUCCAUCCAAGGAAGAAAGGCCCUUUUCGAGUGAAGUUCCAAGUGAACCUGAAAACUUCGCAAUGUUUGAUAGGUAAACAUCACCGAAGCAAACCCAAUAUCAACAAAGAUCGCCACGAAUAGCACUCAGAGCAAACUUCUUCUGCUUUCAUUGCUGGGUUCCAUUUUCCAUUGUUGGAGAAGGGCUCAGCUUGAUGGAGUUCCAAUCAAGUUCCUCUGACUACUCAAAACUUCGUUUUUUGCCGGUUGUUAGGCUUGCAUUUGAGAAAAGUAAUGAAGUGGCCCUCAGGGAGGCAUUACUAACGAAGCUUCUUAGGUGGCAAGCUCCUUAUUUAGAGUUAUUUCAUCGCACAUGAGGGGACCAUCCAACUUCGCUUGGAUCUUGACUACCGUAAAUGCCGAGUCUAAUUUGGGAUGGACCGUUUCCAGAAGAAGAAGAAGUACACUGACACUUUAACGAGUUAUAUAUAUGCGCCCUUUCGUCGAAUCCCUGGACAGUCGUCAAAAAAGGGAGAAAAAAAGAGAAGAGUGGCAACCCGAAGCUGUAUGUAUAAAUAUGCAAUGUGGUGGUCGCUUUCCAAAAAAAAACUUAUUUUCGAGGUCCAGCUGCCCUCUAAUACCCUAAUAUGUAAAGUCGUGAUGGUGGUCCACUCUCUGUCCCCAUGGAAUCCAGUUCCACAGCGCCCGAAAGACUGACUCCCUAUCCCUUCACUAUUCAUCCCGGUGUCUCCAGAGAUCAACUCAGCUUGAAUACAUAAACAAGAGACGUAUCGUGAUACCCGGAGUAUCUGCUCAACGACCAUUCCAGAAGGCCAAGGCCCAACCAGAAGCAGUCUCAAUGCAGAAUUGGUGCGGUCACUCGGAGUAUUCAUUUCCAGGUCUUGCUCACUUUGAGAGUGGGGAGAAUCGAUUCGUUUCGAAAUAUAUUUCCCAAGCCUUGAAGAGCGGGAUCUAUUCAAUGUUUUCAAUCCCUCAAGGCUCCUUGAUCAAAUCCGGAGAGAUGCGUAGAAGUGGUAGAAGGAGAAAUCUUGGAAUUUGAGGAAGACCUUUGUGACCUUCACAAAAAAGUGGAGACAUCUUCAAACGAUGGUGUCAACAAGGGCGUUGUUCCCAUGUUCCAUCUUCCUUCCGCCGUUCCAUUUGUGGACAGAGAGAGAUGGAGAAGAAAAGAGGUGACACGAGAUAAUGCAUCCAUAAGGAACACAAUUGAUUGCAUCACUUCGAGAAAGAGCUCAUCCCGCCCCAAAAGUAACGAACCAGCCACUUUCAAAAAGCAAAUCGAAUAAUCCAUCUACAACGCACGCGCCCAUUCAGCCUGGAACGGGGCAUGUCACUUUUCAAGCGGAGAAAAACUCGAGGCAAGCCAACAUUUCCAAAUUUUGUUGAGGAAAAAAUAAAACAUGCAAUAAACCUGGGUCUCCUC